AUGGUAACACACAGCACAUAUACUAAAAUCAGAACAAUACAGAGAUCAGCAUGGCCCCUGCACAGGAUGACACGCAAACUCAUGAAGCAUUGUAUAAAAAA
rnacentral:snRNA from 1 species